CUUUCGGGGUGGUCAGUUGGUUGUUAUAUCUCCACUAAUGAGCAGAGAAGGGUUAAACCUUUGAAGUAAGUUAUGUGGGUCAAGGUAUGGUGAUUAAUUGGAGUUCUAGUUCAUUUACUUUGAGAAAAUUAGAGUGUUUAAAAGCAGCCUCUUGGGGCACUGAAUACAUUAGCAUGGGAUAAUAAAAUAGGAUCUUCACAAUAUAUUUUAUUGGUUUAAAUUGCGUAUGAAGAUAAUGAUUAAUAGGGACAGUUGGGGUAUUCAUAUUGGGUGGUUAGCGGUGAAAUGCUCGGAUCCAUUCAAGAUGAACUAAAGCGAAAGCAUUUACCAAGGAUGUUUUCAUUAAUCAAGAACGAAAGUUAAGGGAUCGAAGACGAUUAGAUACCGUCGUAGUCUUAACUAUAAACUAUGCCGACCAGGG
rnacentral:rRNA from 1 species